rnacentral:tRNA from 1 species
GGACAUGUGCCUGAAAGUUAAGGCUUACUUUGAUAGAGUAAUAAAUAGGGGCUCAAAUCCCCUCAUCUCCU